UUACCUGGUCCGGACAUCAAAAGGAUAGACAGACUGCCAGAUCUUUCUUGAUAUGGUGAUUGGUGGUGCAUGGCCGUUCUUAGUUCGUGGAGUGAUCUGUCAGGCCAAUCCCGGUAACGAACGAGACCACAUUCUCCAUUUGACGAGCCGGAGAAGGCCGUGGUAAUGGAAAUUUUUGUUUACAAAAGUUUCUGCUAUCAUUGUUGAAGGCAUCGUAUAGUUGCCAAGGGUGUAUUGGUUGAGGUGGCAACAUCAAGGCUGAUGCAUUUGAGGUAAUCUGUGCGCUCCCUCCGGCUUAGCAGUGCAUGUCUUGCAAGAGUCGUGUAUUGUAUCAUGGAGAGACAACGGAAAAUAUUUUAAAAAUCCGAGGAAGUGUGGCUAUAACAGGUCUGUGAUGCCCUUAGAUGUUCAGGGCUGCACGCGCGCUACAAU
rnacentral:rRNA from 1 species